rnacentral:tRNA from 1 species
GGGGAUACAGCUCAGUUGGUAGAGUGUUUGCCUUGCAAGCACAAGGCCCUGGGUUCAGCCCCCAGCACCA